rnacentral:rRNA from 1 species
CGAACGCUGAACUCUCUUCGGAGGGUGGAUGAGUGGCGAACGGGUGAGUCACACGUGGGCAAUCUGCCCUGCACUCUGGGAUAAGCCUUGGAAACGGGGUCUAAUACCGGAUACGACAACCGGGGGCAUCUCUGGUUGUGGAAAGUUCCGGCGGUGCAGGAUGAGCCCGCGGCCUAUCAGCUUGUUGGUGGGGUAAUGGCCUACCAAGGCGACGACGGGUAGCCGGCCUGAGAGGGUGACCGGCCACACUGGGACUGAGACACGGCCCAGACUCCUACGGGAGGCAGCAGUGGGGAAUCUUGCGCAAUGGGCGAAAGCCUGACGCAGCAACGCCGCGUGGGGGAUGACGGCCUUCGGGUUGUAAACCUCUUUCGACAUCGACGAAGGCCCUUGGGUUGACGGUAGGUGUAGAAGAAGCACCGGCUAACUACGUGCCAGCAGCCGCGGUAAUACGUAGGGUGCGAGCGUUGUCCGGAUUUAUUGGGCGUAAAGAGCUCGUAGGCGGUUUGUCGCGUCUAUCGUGAAAACCGGGAGCUUAACUCCUGGCUUGCGGUGGAUACGGGCAGACUUGAGUUCGGUAGGGGAGACUGGAAUUCCUGGUG